UGCGCAGGCGGGAUAGUCAGUCAGUGGUGAAAUCUCUCGGCUCAACCGAGAAACUGCCAUUGAUACUGCUAUUCUUGAAUAUAGUUGAAGUGAACGGAAUGUAACAUGUAGCGGUGAAAUGCAUAGAUAUGUUACAGAACACCAAUUGCGAAGGCAGUUCACUAAGCUAUUAUUGACGCUCAGGCACGAUAGCGUGGGGAGCAAACAGGAUUAGAUACCCUGGUAGUCC
rnacentral:rRNA from 1 species